CCAUUUUUAAACACUUUUGAAAACCUGUAUUUUCUUUUUUUUAAGAUAAUAAAACCAAAAGAAUUUCAAACCUGAAAACAUUUAAUAAAAGAUUUGAAUGAGAACAUAAAUCAAAUGAUUUCAAAACCUGAAUUUCAAACUUAAAAGCCAUAAUAAGAGAAUUUCAAGAGAACAUUUAAACUUUAAUAAAUGAUUCGAAAGAGAACAUUUAAACCCCCUAAAAGCAACAGGAUCGCAUCCAGGUUACAGUAUUGAAAUUAGAAUCUACCACUAUUAUUACACAACAUCUCUUACCAAAUCAGAUCAUCUUCGAUAAGAAGAAUCACUGUCAACUAUUCCAGCUAUGACUUACACUUGAAUCUCUAUAGCACAGCUCUAGCUUGCACCAACCUCAUCAACUUUCCUGAACACUCCUCGACCACUGGAUCCUCAACUCUGUCUCCUCGCCUAGCAUUAGCCUUAUUCACAAUCUCAAUCAAUCAUCUCAUCUUUAAGCCUUUCUGAAAUGGUUAGAAAGGAAUAGCAAGGGUGAGCAACAAUGCUCAGCAAGUAAUAAUAAACAAUGAUAGUUCUGAAAUGAUAUAACAGAAGUUCACGAGUUCAAGAUAUAAGAGGAUUCAACCUGAGUUCAUGAGUUCAUGGUAUUGUAUAGAAUGAUUUACAAUACCUUGCAGCAUUUAAACUGAGAAAUUCAAUCUUUCCAAAGAAUUAUUGAAUUGGACUAUCACAUUUUAAUUAAAACCAAGGUUAGGCAGCUGAUCAGUUCCGCACUAACCCCGAGCAGGCCCCGCCAUGCUCUAUCACUGGAUCCAAGGCACUCAUUGGCCUAACAUGACCACGAAUCUGGUCCACAGGUUUAUAUAAAAACAAUAAUCCAAUUCUCUAAUUCAAUUCAAGAAGCCAAUGUAAAUUAACAGAACAUCAUCAUAAAUAUCAUCAACAACAGAAUAAUUCCAAUUCAAACUUUGAUAAUAAUCUAUUCAUAAAUCAUGAUCCAUCAUUUCAUAAAUCACAGUUCAGGAAAUCCUCAACUAUUCAGUAUCCUCCAUUAUCGGCUAAGCAACUGAAUUUAGCCUGCUAAACCAGCAUGACAAUGGCGGGUUGAAUAAUCAAGAAGAUCCCAAUUCAUUCAAAGCUCUAACUAUCACUGAGCAACACAUGCUUCAAUGACAAUCUGAACUUCGAAUUAAUUUGUAAAACGGAAAUUCUUUAGAAACUUGAAGAUUAGAAAGAAUGGGUCAGAAUACUCGCACUUUCGAACAUUGAAAAGAAAGGUAUGAAUACUUGAAACAUAUACCAAAGGAAUGGAUCAGAAUAUUUGCAAUAUAUCCAAGAGAAAGGUUUAGGAUACUUGCCUUAAAUCUGACUCCAGUUUCACAGCUAAUUCUCAUCUUUCAACUUUCACAAUCUAUGCAUUUCGUAAUCUCUAGACCAUCUCUAGCUAUACUCUAUUCGCCACAUCGCUUCGCUUACUCGAUUCAUCCCUUAUUCGCUUUGCAAUACCAUUCCGACUUUCUGACGUCUUCGAGCGUACACGUCUCCUCCAAAUCCUUUACGAGAAUAAGAUAAUACUAUAGUCACUAAACAAUAUAUCGCAUAUACAUAUCACGUAUAUCGAUACCCACUUAUAUACCCCUUUAAACUUAUCACAUAUCACUUAACACGUAAUCAUGCUUUGACUCUACCAUAUAGUCAAGUCAUAUUCCACAUAACAUAUUACCAAUCACUUAUCAUAUGAAUCCUAUCGAAAAUCCGACAUCGUCUCGUCUAUUUAUUAGACUAUCCACCUGUUAUCCUAUCUCAAUCAACAAUCAACCAACAAGAUCCAAUCACUAUAAUCCAUAUAUUCUUAUCCAAUAUCAAUCAACUCACGACACUAUGUCAUCCAAAUCAUUUAUCACACGCAUAUACUAUCAUGAAUAAACAUGUAUAUCACGUAGUCAUUAGUUAAUAGCAACCAAAUAACAUAUAAUCACAUUUUGCACAUUUAACAAAAAUUAUUCAGAUUCUCGACUCCAUCAUAAUAUUAUGUCAUAUCAAACUAGACUUUAUAAGCUUCUGUCUCUCUUUCGUUUCACUUGAUUCCGACUUACGGAUCAAAAGUUAUGAUCAAAACCGUUUUCUAACUCCUCUAUCGGCACAUAACACAUCAAACAGAUAGCAGACAACACAUUACACAUAAGGUUUCCCACCCCAAUUGAUAUCAAAUCAACUCUUGGGUUAAAAAUGAUUUUUCGGGAAUUUUCUGGAAUUUUUAAACAUUUUUCGGAAUUAAAAUCGAUAAAAGAAUCACUUUUCGGAUAAAUAAUCAAGUCCCAAAUACUUGAAAUUGGACUUGAAAUCAUUCAUAAACAAUUAUCGAGCCUUGAAAAUAAUUUGGAAAAAUAUUUUAAAGCUCGAAACUAUUUUUCGGAAUUUUUAAAUCAAAAAGGAUUAAUUAAAUCCAAUUAAUUAAUCAAUUAAAAUCAAUUAAUAAUUAAUUAAAAUAAUUAAUCAAUUAAUAUUUAAAUUAAUUGACCAAUUAAAAUAAUUAAUUACUAAUUAAAAUUAAUUAAUAAACUAAUUUAGAUUUAUUUUUGAAUAAAGAAAUAAUUAAAAACUAUUUUUGGAAUUUAAAAUAAUUAAAUAAAACAAUUUUAGAAAAUUAAAUCAAAAGGUUUAUUUUGUAAACUUUUGAAAGUUUUUGUCCAGGGUUUAAAGUGUAACUUUUAAAAGUUACAGGGGGUGUUUUGUAAGAUUCAAAACUUAGGUACAACAACUUCACCACCUUCACAACUUCGGUGACCAAACAGCAAUUUGCCGUCGGCCACCAUACUAACUCGCCGGAAACCUCGUUCCCGGCCUCCCCGAGCUCCCACAAACUCCAGAUAGCAUAUUUGGAAUACCAUAAACGUAAAACCGCCCUCAGAUUCAUCAGAAGCGGCCAUAUUUGGCCAUAGAAUGCAAAACAAAACUCGCCGCCGGCGACUUCCUUUUGAACUCCGGCGAGCCAUUUCCAGACAUCCCACAUAACUGUUGAACAUACACACAAGUUCCUCUCAUCACGCUCUUUCUAAUGAUAUAGAUCACAAUAGCCCAGAAUUUCUAGAUUAAAAACGCCUCUUUUUCAAUUAAGAAAAUUCAUAAACCUCCAAGAACAUUCAAGAACACAACUCCGAGAAUUAAACCAACGUUUCUAUAUGUUAUCGAAGUCAAAAUUCGACAUAUAAUAUACCAAAACGACGAGAAAAACAUGCUCUACAACAUAGAAUCAUCAAAACAACCAAAUAAUAUCAUUUACAAAAAUUCAUCCUUUAAAUCAAAAUAGCUCGAAUUUUGUAAAAUUUAUGUAAAAUCACCUGAUAAAUCUGCAUACAAACGGGUGAUUAAACAUGAUUCUACGCGUCGAUAGCUUCGUUUUGACUAUUCGUACACCUCCAUCGGAUUCCAAUAACACCUCCAAAUCCUCGUUUGAUUAUGAAGAACACGAAGAACACCGCUCGGUUUCUCUCGGUAUUUGUGAAAAGAAACUGGUGAAAAUGAUUUCUACGGUGAAAAUCAGCUAUAGAAAAGUCUAUUUAUAUUUACAAAUACUUGGUACCCCUUUGGAUCGUUUAUGACAUGAAAAUACGUAUUUAAUAGCUUUAUAUUAAUAAAGCGGGGUCCAAUCGGUACUGGUUUUCAAGAUAAUCAUCAAAACGGGGCUUUUUAAUCAGUCAUUAGUAUGCGGGUCCCACUGCAAUUAUUACAAGAUAAGGAUGAAUCAAAAUAUCUAGUUUCACGUUUAUCGAGACAACCAGAUAAUUAUCAACAAUUAAAAUACCCGAAAAACUCCGCCGGACCGACUACGGGGAAAACCGUACUCCGGAUCGAAAAAGUCAAAACACGAAAAAUGUCCGGAAUAUUCAAAUUAGGCUAAAGGUGAGUUUUGUUGAAACUUCCGGGAAGAAAAUUUGCUACCUCGUUACGAGUGGACGGUUUUACGGAAGUCAAAUAAUUAAUAAAUAAAUAUAAAUAUACGCAAUUAAAUCCGUAAAUCGAUUAUAAAAUCAUCUAACAUUCCAUAAAUCGAUAUGAAAAUAUCCAAAUAAACUAUAUUUUCUCCUGAGCAUAUAGAAAUUGAAAUCUCACGAAUACGAACACAUACGAGCAUUCAGCUCAAUAAACUAGAUAACACAAAAUUCACAAAAAUUCAUAUAUUAAUCAUGUAAUAUUAAUAAUUAAUCAUAACUAAUUAACAAACAAAUUCACCAAUACCACUUAAUCACAUAACACAUAUAUUCACAUAAUAUUCAUACAGAAUUUUCAAAACAAUAUAUGAAAAUCAGUUUUGAAAAUACAAUUAUUUAUCAAUAACACAAUAACCCGGGGUUUAAAUAUAAAACUUUGAAAACUCAUUAAACUGGAAUAAAAUAUUAAAUCUUAUUCCUUUCUUUUUAAGAAAAUCAUUUAUAAUAUUAACAAAAAUAUUUUUAAAAUCCGGGUUAUUACAAUAUACCCUCCUUAUAGGGAUUCCGUCCUCGGAAUCAGAGAAAGAAGGAGAACGCAUAAUUAGUAUAAUCCAUAUUAAUCCACAGAACAAGUAUCAUCAUAUAAAACUAUUCACAUAAUCAAUUCACUUUUCAACUAAAGCCAACAAUAAUAUUUAGACAAAUAGAUUUAUAAUAAUCAAAUCUAAAUUUAAUAAUAUGGGAUAUUACAUUCUACCCCCCUUAUAAGGAUUCCGUCCUCGGAAUCCUCCGAAGAAACUAAAACGUACAUACUUCGUAAUAUCCUAUCGUCAUCCACCUUUUGAUCAAUCUUGGCAUACCUUUAGCUUUUAAAAAUACAGGAGAAUUAAAACUUUCACAAUUGCCAAAUUCGUUUCCCAAGAAUCAAUCUUUGGGAUUUUUGGAGGAACAAGAUGCUUUCAAAGUAGGUCACAUUGGAAUACAAGAGUGACUGGGAGAUCAAUACGAUCAAAUGAACUUAAUGUUGCGUGUCCAUAUUAGACACUACUAAAGGUUGUUAACCUUCUUGUAAUCACAACACACACAAGUGAUGGCGUCCCAUCCAACUCCUAUCACACAGACAGGUAUACCUUGUGUCCCCUAUACGUAGGGUUGUUCAUCCCAAUCAGAUGGAAGAAAUAUCAAGGAAUAUCAGAGAUUGUCAAGGAAUAUCAAAUAUCGCGAAGAAAUGUAAAAAAAAAAAUAUCAAGAAUAUCAAGAAAUAUAAAAGAAUAUCAAGGAAUGUCAUGGAGUAUCAAACAAUAUCAAGGAACAUCACUGUCUUUUCACAUCAAACCUUUAUCACCCAUCAAAUCAAUACCAACUCACACCAAUAGUCAAUAUCAAUGUCAUCUUAGAAUUUGAGAAAUUGAAGAUCUCAUUUAUUGAAAUGAUAUCAUAAUAACUCACUGAUGAAGAACAUAAUCAAAAGAAUCUUUAGUUGAAGAGAGGUAUUGCCAAGGUCUUAUCAAAUUCCCACUCUACUUUACGAAAUCGUUAUUCGAUUUAUGUCAUCCUUUCAACGUUCUCGAUAAUCAAUCGAUUUGACUCGUGAUAGCCUCGUAAGAUGUCAUCGUAGACGUUAUCGUUCAUAAUAAGUCUGGCCCAAGUAGUUCACGUCCUCAUGUUUCAUCCAGUUGCCUUUGAAGUCCAUAGCACAACGCGUAGCAUAUCAUCGAUUUUCUGGAUCAUCAACCUGUGGGUUAUGGGCCCACCUUGAUGUCGUUUGAAGUCCCGAUUAGCUUAAAGCGUUGUCGUCGAGGACUAACGUUCUAACUUACUCACCGACAUCUCCCCUAAUAACUACACUCAAUUCCACAUACUUUUUAUCAUUCACUUCUCAUCUAUCAACCUCUAUCUACAACUCCCCCUUCUAAUCCAACAUAACUCAUAUCUUACACUCCUUCUUCAAUAUCUUAACUCAAAACAAUAAACCACAUUCAGAUAUCCUACAUGGUCAGAAUACCAUUAACCAUGCAUCUUUAUCGUUUUCAACUUAAAACAAUAAACCAUUUUCAAAUAUGCAGUAUAGUCAGAAUACUCUGAAGUCUGCAUCUUCACCAUUCUUAACUCAAUCAUUCAUUAUCAAACUCUUCUAUCUAGGUCUACUCUAGACUUUUCUCACAAUUCAUCAUCUCAAUUAGUCAACAUACUAGAAAUCAUAUGUCUAACUUAGGAAUCAAAAUCUCUCUAACCCUAUACACUCAGCUUGAUCGUCUAACCAGAUUCUAUGCUUCACUCACAUCACUAGACUAUUCCCAAAUAGUCUAACCAUACCUCUAUGUGAGGUUACACAACUUUCUUUUCUAGAAACCUUAAGACUAUAAUCCAUAUUCAAAUUUCAAUAACUUGUAACCUGUCGCUCUGAUACCAACUGUGACAGUCCAGGAAUCCGGGGGCCUGGAUUCUGACGUCACCACAUAAAACCCAUUUUUAAACACUUUUGAAAACCUGUAUUUUCUUUUUUUUAAGAUAAUAAAACCAAAAGAAUUUCAAACCUGAAAACAUUUAAUAAAAGAUUUGAAUGAGAACAUAAAUCAAAUGAUUUCAAAACCUGAAUUUCAAACUUAAAAGCCAUAAUAAGAGAAUUUCAAGAGAACAUUUAAACUUUAAUAAAUGAUUCGAAAGAGAACAUUUAAACCCCCUAAAAGCAACAGGAUCGCAUCCAGGUUACAGUAUUGAAAUUAGAAUCUACCACUAUUAUUACACAACAUCUCUUACCAAAUCAGAUCAUCUUCGAUAAGAAGAAUCACUGUCAACUAUUCCAGCUAUGACUUACACUUGAAUCUCUAUAGCACAGCUCUAGCUUGCACCAACCUCAUCAACUUUCCUGAACACUCCUCGACCACUGGAUCCUCAACCUUGUCUCCUCGCCUAGCAUUAGCCUUACUCGCAAUCAUAGUCUAGCCAUUCAUCUUUAAUCCUUUCUGAAA
rnacentral:lncRNA from 1 species